UACCAGCUCUUCGAGUGGUGUGGAUGUUUAUUGGGCCUAAAGCAUCCGUAGCUGGCUGGGCAAGUCCCCUGUUAAAUCCACCGAUUUAAUCGUUGGAGUGCGGGGGAUACUGUUCGGCUAGGGGACGGGAGAGGCAGACGGUAUUUUCGGGGUAGGGGUGAAAUCCUAUAAUCCCGGGAAGACCACCAGUGGCGAAGGCUGUCGGCUAGAACGCGCCCGACGGUGAGGGAUGAAAGCUGGGGGAGCGAACCGGAUUAGAUACCCGGGUAGUCCCAGCUGUAAACGAUGCAGGCUAGGUGUUUGGGCGGCCACGUGCCGCUCUAGUGCCGCAGAGAAGUCGUUAAGCCUGCCGCCUGGGGAGUACGGCCGCAAGGCUGAAACUUAAGGAAUUGGCGGGGGAGCACCACAAGGGGUGAAGCUUGCGGUUU
rnacentral:rRNA from 1 species